rnacentral:rRNA from 1 species
GCGUAGGUGGGCAGGUAGGUCAGCGGUGAAAUCCCCGAGCUUAACUUGGGAACUGCCAUUGAUACUAUCUGUCUUGAAUACCUUGGAGGUGAGCGGAAUAUGUCAUGUAGCGGUGAAAUGCUUAGAUAUGACAUAGAACACCAAUUGCGAAGGCAGCUCACUACACGGUCAUUGACACUGAGGCACGAAAGCGUGGGGAUCAAACAGGAUUAGAUACCCUGGUAGUCCACGCCCUAAACGAUGGAUACUCGACAUCAGCGAUACACUGUUGGUGUCUGAGCGAAAGCAUUAAGUAUCCCACCUGGGAAGUACGGCCGCAAGGUUGAAACUCAAAGGAAUUGG